rnacentral:rRNA from 1 species
CCUACGGGAGGCAGCAGUGGGGAAUAUUGCACAAUGGGGGAAACCCUGAUGCAGCGACGCCGCGUGAGCGAUGAAGUAUUUCGGUAUGUAAAGCUCUAUCAGCAGGGAAGAAAAUGACGGUAACUGACUAAGAAGCCACGGCUAACUACGUGCCAGCAGCCGCGGUAAUACGUAGGGGGCAAGCGUUAUCCGGAUUUACUGGGGGUAAAGGGAGCGUAGACGGCGGGGCAAGCCAGAUGUGAAAGCCCGGGGCUCAACCCCGGGACUGCAUUUGGAACUGUGCUGGUGGAGUGUCGGAGAGGCAGGCGGAAUUCCUAGUGUAGCGGUGAAAUGCGUAGAUAUUAGGAGGAACACCAGUGGCGAAGGCGGCCUGCUGGACGAUGACUGACGUUGAGGCUCGAAAGCGUGGGGAGCAAACAGGAUUAGAUACCCCUGUAGUC